rnacentral:lncRNA from 1 species
CUAAUGUAUAACAAGAAGGCCCCACCUUACGAUGAACCAAGGAACCAAAAUCAGGCCCACUACCGCGCGCUCAGCGAUCGGGAAAGGGUCGCAGCAAGAGAAGAGGAGACGGGCGGCAGCGUUCCUCCUGGAGAUGAUUCGGACCAGCAGCGAAGACUUGCACUAAGGAGGGAUGUGGGAUUGUUCAGCAGCAUUACAUUUCUCCUCAGUGCGACCAUAGGCACUGGUAUCUUCAUAACUCCGGGAAGCGUACUCAAACAUUCAAAGACUAAUCGGCCUUGAUCUCCUCAUGUGGACUCUUGGUGGAGUAAACGCAUUCGUAGGUGGGCUUUGUGCUGCCGAGCUGGGUGCGCUUCUACCGUCAUCUGGCUGGUGACUACGCGUUCUUCCUCGCCGCCGGCAAGCCAUACGGAAGGUACGGCGACGUACCUGCCUUUCUGUUUGCCUGGACUUCCUUCUUCGUGGAUCCUGCAUACAUGACUAUUCAGGGACUGACCUUCUCGGCCUACGUGCUCAGUCUGCCGUACCCGAAUUGUGCUCCACCUAAAGAACUGCAAGUCUUGGUCGCCUGUCUGUUCAUCACUUUGGCAACAGCCGUCAACUGUUUCUCCGUUAAGAUGUCGUCAAAAGUGCUGGACAUCUUUUCUGGUCUCAAGUGCUCAUUUCUGUACGCUGUCAUCAUCACAGGAGCAAUAUACACAUUUCAUGGCAAUCAUAUGUUGGAUUCCCAGCCCUCAGACACUCGUCCUUCGCCCGGAGAUAUAGCAUCGGCUCUGUAUUCUGC